GGAUACCCGCUGAACUUAAGCAUAUCAAUAAGC
rnacentral:rRNA from 1 species